rnacentral:rRNA from 1 species
UACGUAGGUGGCAAGCGUUGUCCGGAAUCACUGGGCGUAAAGCGCGCGCAGGCGGCGAUCUACGUCUGGGGUGAAAGCCCGGAGCUCAACUCCGGGACUGCCUUGGAUACGGGAUCGCUUGAGGAUUGGAGAGGCAAGGGGAAUUCCACGUGUAGCGGUGAAAUGCGUAGAGAUGUGGAGGAACACCGAUGGCGAAGGCAGCCCCCUGGGUUAACACUGACGCUCAGGCACGAAAGCGUGGGGAGCAAACAGG